AGUGAACGCUGGCGGUAGGCCUAACACAUGCAAGUCGAACGGCAGCACAGUAAGAGCUUGCUCUUACGGGUGGCGAGUGGCGGACGGGUGAGGAAUACAUCGGAAUCUACUUUUUCGUGGGGGAUAACGUAGGGAAACUUACGCUAAUACCGCAUACGACCUACGGGUGAAAGCAGGGGAUCUUCGGACCUUGCGCGUUUCAAUGAGCCGAUGUCGGAUUAGCUAGUUGGCGGGGUAAAGGCCCACCAAGGCGACGAUCCGUAGCUGGUCUGAGAGGAUGAGCAGCCACACUGGAACUGAGACACGGUCCAGACUCCUACGGGAGGCAGCAGUGGGGAAUAUUGGACAAUGGGCGCAAGCCUGAUCCAGCCAUACCGCGUGGGUGAAGAAGGCCUUCGGGUUGUAAAGCCCUUUUGUUGGGAAAGAAAAGCAGCAGGUUAAUACCCCGCUGUUCUGACGGUACCCAAAGAAUAAGCACCGGCUAACUUCGUG
rnacentral:rRNA from 1 species